rnacentral:rRNA from 1 species
GUAAUGCAUGGGUAACCUACCUCCGGGACGGGAUAGCCUUCCUAACGGAUGGGUAAUACCGGGCGAGUGGUCGAGAGGCAUCUCUUGGCCAUGAGAUGAAUUUCGCCUGGAGAGGGGCUCAUGUCGUAUUAGCUAGUUGGUAGGGUAACGGCCUACCAAGGCGAAGAUGCGUACGGGUGUGAGAGCACGACCGGCCACUGGGCACUGAGACACUGGCAGAUCCUACGGGAGGCUGCAGUCGAGGAUCUUCGGCAAUUGGGCGCAAGCCUGACCUGAGCGAGCCGCGUGAGCGAUGAAGGCCUUCGGGUUGUAAAGCUCUUUAGUGGGGGAGAACAAGCGCAAGCUUGAUCUAUCCCAAGAAUAAGCACGGGCUAGUUCGUGCCAGGAGCGUGCCAAGAGGAACCGUGCGAACGUUGUUCGGAAUCAUGGGCUUAAAGGGGCGUAGGCGGUUGUCAAGUCAGGGGUGAAAUCUCAGCUUCAGCUGGAGAAGUGCCUUGGAUCACUUGGGCGAGCCUCCGAGGGGAAGG